rnacentral:rRNA from 1 species
UACGGGGGGGAGCAAGCGUUGUUCGGAAUCACUGGGCGUAAAGGGAGUCUAGGCGGUUUGGUAAGUGGGAUGUGAAAUCCCCGGGCUCAACCUGGGAACUGCAUUUGUGACUGCAUCGCUGGAGUGCGGCAGAGGGGGAUGGAAUUCCGCGUGUAGCAGUGAAAUGCGUAGAUAUGCGGAGGACACCGAUGGCGAAGGCAAUCCCCUGGGCCUGCACUGACGCUCAUGCACGAAAGCGUGGGGAGCAAACAGG